rnacentral:rRNA from 1 species
UACGUAGGUGGCAAGCGUUAUCCGGAAUUAUUGGGCGUAAAGGGUGCGUAGGUGGUAUAUUAAGUCUGAUGUAAAAGGCUAUGGCUCAACCAUAGUAUGCAUUGGAAACUGAUAAACUAGAGUGUGAGAGAGGUAAGUGGAAUUCCAAGUGUAGCGGUGGAAUGCGUAGAUAUUUGGAGGAACACCAGUGGCGAAGGCGGCUUACUGGCUCACAACUGACACUGAGGCACGACAGCGUGGGGAGCAAAUAGG